rnacentral:tRNA from 1 species
AUCGACGACAUCAGCCUGCUGAUGAGCUCCCACACGAAUUGCUUGAUUCAUUGUAUAAAGACGAUCAAGACCCAAAGUUUUACCCUUAGGUCUGUAGCUCAGUUGGUUAGAGCGCACCCCUGAUAAGGGUGAGGUCGGCAGUUCAAAUCUGCCCAGACCUACCAAUUUUGGUUGGAAUGUUGAGCACCCCAUGCCUCUGGAUAAAGAGUGGUGAGGACGGCUCUUCUGCAGUUCAAAUCUGCCCAGACCUACCAAUAUGCGGGGCCAUAGCUCAGCUGGGAGAGCGCCUGCCUUGCACGCAGGAGGUCAGCGGUUCGAUCCCGCUUGGCUCCACCACUUGCUUUACCUUGAUCAAACUCAGAAAUGAGCAUUCGCGUCGAAUGUUGAUUUCUGACUUUUGUCAGAUCGUUCUUUAAAAAUUCGGAUAUGUGAUAGAUAUAGACUGAACACCAGUUUCACUGCUGGUGGAUCAGGCUAAGGUAAAAUUUGUGAGUUCUGCUCGAAAGAGCAACGUACGAAUUUUCGGCGAAUGUCGUCUUCACAGUAUAACCAGAUUGCUUGGGGUUAUAU